rnacentral:pre_miRNA from 1 species
CACGUACUCCCUCCGUUCGGAAUUACUUGUCGCGAAAAUGGAUGUAUCUAGAUGUAUUUUAGUUCUAGAUACAUCCAUUUUCGAGACAAGUAAUUCCGAACGGAGGGAGUACGUG